rnacentral:rRNA from 1 species
CCUACGGGAGGCAGCAGUAGGGAAUAUUGCUCAAUGGGGGAAACCCUGAAGCAGCAACGCCGCGUGGAGGAUGAAGGUUUUCGGAUUGUAAACUCCUUUUGUUAGAGAAGAUAAUGACGGUAUCUAACGAAUAAGCACCGGCUAACUCCGGGCCAGCAGCCGCGGUAAUACGGAGGGUGAAAGCGUUACUUGGAAUCACUGGGCGGAAAGAGCGCGUAGGCGGGAUAGCAAGUCAGAUGUGAAAUCCUAUGGCUUAACCAUAGAACUUCAUUUGAAACUGUUAUUGUAGAGUAUGGGAGAGGUAGGUUGAAUUCUUGGUGUAGGGGUAAAAUCCGUAGAGAUCAAGAGGAAUACUCAUUGCGAAGGCGACCUGCUAGAACAUAACUGACGCUGAUGCGCGAAAGCGUGGGGAGCAAACAGGAUUAGAUACCCUUGUAGUC